GGAUGUUCAGAACUCACUCAGUCUGGUUAGAAGAGAAUGACUCCUCAACCCAAGAGGCCCUGGAGCAGCUGUGAUCAUGUUAGAAGAGAAUGACUCCUCAACCCAAGAGGCCCUGGAGCAGCUGUGAUCAGGUUAGAAGAGAAUGACUCCUCAACCCAAGAGGCCCUGGAGCAGCUGUGAUCAGGUUAGAAGAGAAUGACUCCUCAACCCAAGAGGCCCUGGAGCAGCUGUGAUCAGGUUAGAAGAUAAUGACUCCUCAACCCAAGAGGCCCUGGAGCAGCUGUGAUCAGGUUAGAAGAGAAUGACUCCUCAACCCAAGAGGCCCUGGAGCAGCUGUGAUCAGGUUAGAAGAG
rnacentral:lncRNA from 1 species